rnacentral:rRNA from 1 species
UACAGAGGGGGCAAGCGUUGUUCGGAAUUACUGGGCGUAAAGGGCGCGUAGGCGGCCUUCUAAGUCAGACGUGAAAUCCCUCGGCUCAACCGGGGAACUGCGUCUGAGACUGGAAGGCUUGAAUCCGGGAGAGGGAUGUGGAAUUCCAGGUGUAGCGGUGAAAUGCGUAGAUAUCUGGAGGAACACCGGUGGCGAAGGCGGCAUCCUGGACCGGUAUUGACGCUGAGGCGCGAAAGCCCAGGGGAGCAA